rnacentral:rRNA from 1 species
UACGUAGGUGGCAAGCGUUGUCCGGAUUUAUUGGGCGUAAAGCGAGCGCAGGCGGAAAGAUAAGUCUGGAGUGAAACGUAUGAGCUCAACUCAUGCAUGGCUCUGGAAACUGGAGGACUGGAGAGCAGGAGAGGGCGGUGGAACUCCAUGUGUAGCGGUAAAAUGCGUAGAUAUAUGGAAGAACACCAGUGGCGAAGGCGGCCGCCUGGCCUGUUGCUGACGCUGAGGCACGAAAGCGUGGGGAGCAAAUAGG